UAAUAAGACACACUGAACUAAGCAACAUGUAGUUUCUCAAAUUAGUUCUCAUUUUUGCUGUGCUGUUGUUAGAGCUGUAUCAGUUUAACUGUUAGGUGGGAUUUGCAUCUGUAUUACAGGAUGGGUAUGUGGUGAGACAUGCAUUUGUGCCAUUGGUAGCUGCAUAAUGAUACUGAAACAUUUUUACUGCCGGCAACGUGAUGCCGAUUUCCUCUUGAAUUUGCCUUUAUGCAUGCAUGCAUGAGAGAAUUUUGACUCUUAUUCUCAUAUUUUUUUCUCCUAACAAGUAACAAGAUCUAUUUUCUUUCUUAUAUAAGGCAAAGCUUGCGUUGGACAGCCUUGAAGUUCCAGUUGGAUUGGACUCUUUGAUUGAACAGCUGUGUGAUUAUUGAGGAUGGGAAUGUUAUUGCAGCAGGAAGAAACCGGAUAACGUCCUGCGUGUCCUGCCCACGGGGCAACAGGAGCAGAGGAGCCUGUCGUCAUGAUGAGAUUUCAUGCCGUUUUCCCAAAUCUCAGAUGCUCUUGCACACGUUCAUUCCCUUCUUCAUGGCUCAGUUCAUCCGAAACCUGCAUCCAUCUCUCCAAGCGCUUCUUCAGACAUGCGAGUCAUGUGACCUGUGAUGGUCCUACAGUCUCUGGACACCUUAGGAAUGAAAACCCAGAUGAAACUCGGGAGGUUCUGGACAAAUUUCAAUGCCCAGAUGUUCGUUCAUUUACAAAGAUGAUUGUGGGUCGC